GGACUGUUCCUCGAACAGUGGUAGGAGAGCGUUCUAAGGGCUGUGAAGCCAGACCGGAAGGACUGGUGGAGCGCUUAGAAGUGAGAAUGCCGGUAUGAGUAGCGAAAGAGGGGUGAGAAUCCCCUCCACCGAAUGCCUAAGGUUUCCUGAGGAAGGCUCGUCCGCUCAGGGUUAGUCGGGACCUAAGCCGAGGCCGAAAGGCGUAGGCGAUGGACAACAGGUUGAUAUUCCUGUACCACCUCCUCACCAUUUGAGCAAUGGGGGGACGCAGGAGGAUAGGGUAAGCGCGGUAUUGGAUAUCCGCGUCCAAGCAGUUAGGC
rnacentral:rRNA from 1 species